rnacentral:lncRNA from 1 species
UUACUGAUCCAUCCGCCACUUCACUGAAAGAUCGAAGAAAAGAAAAAACUAAAAAUGAAAGACCUAUCUUCUCACAAAUGACAAUCAACCAAAAAGGAAACAAAAAGCAAACCUAAAUUCUACACUAAGAACGGCAGCCCCAAAGCCCAAAAAAUCUCGGCGACACCCUUCUUCACAAAAGAACGGCAAGGGCCAAAAUUCAUCCAAAAAAAAACCUUAAUUUCCGAAGCAGCACCCACCUCCAGCAUCAACGCUUGUUGUUUCCCCUUCUUCAAAAAAAAAAUCAGCAACAACUUCCGUCCUUGUGCCAUUGAGUAGUGAUUUCCGGCGAGGUUCUCGAUUGAGGUGGUAAUCAGUCAUAGAUUCGGCCAACAGUCCAAGUCAUUUUCCCUUUUUCAAACACCUUGGGCUUCAAUGUACUCUUCAUUGAGUUAUCUUCAUUAAUACCAAGCAGAAAGGUCCAUCUUCUUAUCUAUUUUACCAUUUUUUUUUCAAACUUCAUGCUUUAAAUAUUUUAUUGAUAUUGUUUGACGUGUGUUUUGAUUCCUUGCAUUGAAACCCAUAAUUUUACACAUUAUCUUCCUUUGUACAAGUUUGAUCUAUUACAUUUAAUGUUUUAAUCGGUGAUGAGCUAUUUGAAUUAAUUUCAUCUUAAUCUUCCAUCUUGUGCAUGAUAUAGUAGUUGCACUGGAUUUGAGCCAUAUGAUCUUGUUGUAUAUUAAAUGAAAAUUUAGGUUUUUAAUUGAUGAUGUGGGUCGUUGUUUGCUUAUUAAUAGUAGUUAAAAGAAUUUUGACUCAUAGGGUUCUGUUUGGUCAAGAUGAGUGAUUGAGAAAUGGGAUUGAGAAUAAUUUUUCGUCGGAAUGUUCUUCUAAUGAACGGACCAAAUUUCCAAAUCCAAAAAAUCCUUUCUUUAACUAAAGUUGACCAAAUUUGCAUAAUAGAACAAGUGGCUCGUAACUGCAACAAUAAAUAUCGUAACUUAUUUUAGGCACGAUUAAUAAACAAUCGUGAUUAUGGUACGGUUCACGUGAUGUAGUCAUGAUGUCUAAUUCCCAAAUUUGGGGGUGCAUUUCAUGUAACCCGAAUAUAACAACUUCGAAUAAUAAAACCCUUUUUUAAAUAAAUUGAGGCGUGCCAUGCCAAAUAAAACCACUAAGCCCAUGACCCUCAUGAAAUUAAUUCAAACUUUUAAAAAUCGGGGCGUGCCAUCAAUUGAAUUUCCCAUGGCCCUCGCAAACAUUGUUAUUAAUUUGAAACUUCGUAGUUGCUUUAGGCGCGUUCUUUAAAAUUAAUUUUCUUUUAAUUACUAAAUUCUGGUGUGCAUUUCAUGUGACCCAAAUUCAAUUCUCAACAACGUUAAAUAGAAUGUGUCGUGGACCGCGGGUGCAUUUCAUGUAGCGUGGUUCAAGGCGUGUUUUAAAUAACGUUGAAUUUUCCUGAAAUAAUUAAAAGUGGUUAAUCAGUUAAAAAUGUACCAUAGGUUAAAACAUGUAUUAAAAUCAGGUAAUAGGCCAAUUAUAAUAGUUUAAGCGACCGUUCUAGAACCACGGAACCUGGGAAUGCCUAACACCUUCUCUCGGGUUAACAGAAUUCCUUACUUAGAAUUUAUGGUUCGCAGACUUCUAAAAAAUAAAAAAAUUCUCGAUUUAGGAUUUUAAAAUAAACCGGUGACUUGGGACACCAAAUAAACUAUUCUAAGUGGAGACUCUAAAUUAAAUAAAUAAUCUCAUUUCGAAUAAUGUCACUUUAAUUGGAAAAAUUCCCUUAUAUCCCCUCAGGUGGUAAAAAAGGAGGUGUGACAGUACCAACAGGGCCAUUUCGAUCACUUCACGGUCAUGUCACAGGAAUGAUGUCACCACACCGUGUUCGAGGCAUUGAUGAGUCAAAUCGAUUCCUUACCAACCCGGCCUAGGGAAGGUAUGCGAUUGAAACCAGAAUAACUCAAUCUCAGGGGUCUCUGUUACGACAGAAUCGAGCUCGAAGGAGUUAAAUUCAAGUUCAAAGCUUGACUUCGGCAUGAACACUAAAAGGCAAAACUUUGAAGACAUUAAACGAGAAAAUCCUUUGCAUUCCAAAAAUAUAUUUACAAAGGUGCAUUUACAAAACUCCUACGCGGAGUCCACAUACAAAAGAAGAAGAAGUAGAAAGAGCAAAGGUGGCCUAGUCAUCGUCUUCGCUACUCCCCGAGCUUCUCGUAGAGCCCUCGUCCGAAGUAGUCUGAGCUGCUGACUCCUCUUUCAAGGCCUUCGUUUCUUCGAUCUCGGCAGAGAGAUCGAAAACCUUGGCAUGCACUUCCUCAAAGGCCUGCCUUCGAGCUUCUAAUCGAGCAUGUGCAAGGGUGCGAGCCAGUUUGAGCUCGGCCUCUUCAAAUAUUUCCCUGGCUUGAGUAUUUGUUGCAGCAGCGUCAUCCCGAUACGAGGAUAAGAGUGCAUCGACCUCAGACUUAGCCGCGGAUAAUGCGGCAGCCAACUCAGCAUGAAGCACCUUGAAUUUGAGAGCCUCCUCUUUAGCACCUUGAAGAAGACUUUGAGUCGAGGCCAGCUCCUCUCGGAGAGUAUCCCUUUCUGAGGCCAUGCUAUCCUUGUACUGCUUCAGCUCGAGGAUCUUGCCAUCUUUGGCCACAAUCUCUUCUUGAAGCUACCCUGCUAGGGAAUCCUUUCACUCAAUCUACAAAUGACGAGUUAAGGUAAUAGACACCAAGUCAUGGAAACAAAAGGCAAGCUCAUGAGUACCGAACUACCUGCUCAAUGAAGUUGGCCCUCUCUUGGAACGCUUUCUUUGAGUUUGCUCAAAGGUUGUUCAGUUCCUCCUCCCUUCGGGCGUAUAGAGUUUUUAGCUCUUUCGACUCCGAAGCAAACUUCUCGAACUCCUCCUCGCAAUGAGUCAGUUCAACUCGUAACUUGGAAAAGGCCUUGUCGUACAGUAUCGUGACCUAUAGCACGAAGGAAAGAAGUUAGAAAAAGAUCAUCAUCACUCAAUAUUGUCGACAAAAAUCGAGGAUCAUCGGGUCUAUCGGUGGAGAAGAAGAAUCUACAGGACCUAAGGUAAAAGGGUACGUAUAUACGCUGAGGAAACCAGCUCUGUGUCUAGUCAUAUCUUCUUCCGAUGAAGGGAUCUCCACUUGUACCGCCUCUCCCCAGCGGCAAUCUAUUUUCACUUUCUCUAUGUCGGUUAUCAGACUAAUGUACCGAGACGUGGGCUCGCAUCGGUCCGGUACUGAAGAAGGUUUUUCAAUUUUGAAAUCGGAGGAUGUCUCGAAGGUCCCGGGAAUACACUCCUCAAUACGAGGAGGCACUAUCUUUUUGCUCUUAGUCGAGCGUGACGAAGAAGGGGCUUCCUCUUUUUGAGGUACUGUCUUAGAAGUUUUGGCCAUGGUUAUAACAAAGUUUCAAAGUAAGCUGAGGAAGAAAUGAACACAAAAGAAAGGUGAAGACAGGAAAAGAUUUGAAGAUGAUGUAAAGGUUUAAAAGAUAGGGAAUUGGAGUAUUUUUAAGUGUCAUAUAAGUGCAUUGGAGGAGUUGAAAGGCCGACCAAUAGCGGUUUGUGGGCUUUUCAAGAACCGUAUUGACAGGACCUCUGUACAACUUUUCUGCCGCACCAUUUAAUGAUCUCACGUGGCUGACGUCACAAUGGGGUUAUUGGAGAGGCAAGAACUCAAGAUCGUUUCUUAUCAUUUCAUUAUAAGAAACGCGGGGACUAUCUGUAUACGGCCAAAGUCGGGGAGUUCAACUUUGGGAUUAUUGUGACACUCUACGCCCGACCUAGAGAAGCUCGAAGCAGAAUUUGAAGUGUGACCCCGAGGUACGUCCCUCGUGGGAGCACAUCGAAGGUUCACUAUGGUCUAUCUCGGAGCAGUACAAAUCGGUGACCAUCAUGAAAAGGCGGGAAAGCUCCCAGGGACACGUGGUUAGAGCUGACCAGGUCUGCUAGAAUAGUACAAAUCCAUACUGAGCCACUAUACAGUUGUACCAAUAGCAUUCCCUCGUCAUUAUUAGACAUGUACUAUGUUGGGAUUUCCCCUUCUAUAUAAAGGGGACCCUUGUCAUUUUGUAACGGACAUGAAUAUUGAAUACAAUAGAACAUUCUCUUUUCUUGCUUAAACGUGCUCAACAAUUACUCUACAGAUUUAUUAUUUGCUCAUUUGCUAUUCAUUUAUUGCCCAUUAUCAUCCGUUAAAGGCCGCCCUCGAGGUCCUAUAUCACUGAGUUCGAGGCCCUCAGUCGUAUGACCACACUGGUUUGCUUAUCAUUUCUUGCUUACUUACACUUAGCAUUAUUCAUAUAACAACUAGUAUUAAGAUAAAUCACGUAUUUUUAGAACCACAAAUUAAAUAUAAUUGUUACUACCAUUUUCAAGGUAAACAGAUACAGAAAAUUAGACCCGUAAAUCACAAUAAUUCUCUAACAUAGUACUUAAUUACCCUUUAGGAAACUUGUGAAAUUUGAAUCAAAUUUGGGUAUUUGUUAUAUUUUAUGUUAUUUUAGGUUGUUUCGUGUUGGAUUUUCUAGUAAGUAACUUAUCUGAUUUCCUCGUGCUUAGGUGCAAGCUUGUGACAAGCUCUGCAGAUAUUAUCUGUUCUUUGCGGGUAAGGUUUCUCAUAGUUAGUUUGUGUUAUUUUGUUUGUAGAGAUGUGUCUUUUAGGUGCUUCUGUCCUAAAAUGCCUGAAGUUGGACAAUGGAUCAACAUUAUCUACUUAUAUGAAACAUAUUUGAUCGCUCAAUUUGGUUAUAAUGUAAAAUUGUUGAAUCAACUUAUGCAGGUGCAUUGCUUGGUAUGAAAGCCAAAAACUAAAUAGUAGAUUCUUGUGAGGAAGGAAUAGUUUUAUUCAUAUUGUAGAUGAUUGAGUACGUUAUUAGUUCUACUGGUCUUUGAUAGAGAGGCUCAUUCAAUAUACUUUAAGCUUAUUAACAAAUAAUACAAUGUAACAAAUAAAUUAUAUAAUUUGUUGAUCACUUACUAAGAGAA